rnacentral:rRNA from 1 species
GACAGAGGAUGCAAGCGUUAUCCGGAAUGAUUGGGCGUAAAGCGUCUGUAGGUGGCUUUUUAAGUCCGCCGUCAAUCCCAGGGCUCAACCCGUGGACACGGCGGUGGAAACGUACCAAGCUGGAGUACGGUAGGGGCAGAGGGAAUUUCCGGUGGAGCGGUGAAAUGCGUAGAGAUCGGAAAGAACACCAACGGCGAAAAGCACUCUGCUGGGCCGACACUGACACUGAGAGACGAAAGCUAGGGGGAGCGAAUGGG